AGAGGGUCUGAAGUUAUCACAGUGAGUUAUCUCAGUUGAUCGUUCAUGGUCAGUUACAGAUCGAACUCCUUGUUCCACUCUUUCCCCACCCUUCUCACUACUGCACUUGACUAGCCAAAA
rnacentral:Y_RNA from 1 species